GACAGAGGGUGCAAACGUUGUUCGGAAUUACUGGGCGUAAAGCGCAUGUAGGCGGCCACGCAGGUCGGACGUGAAAUCCCUCGGCUCAACCAAGGAAGUGCAUUCGAAACCGCAUGGCUGGAGUCCCGGAGAGGAAGGCGGAAUUCUCGGUGUAGAGGUGAAAUUCGUAGAUAUCGAGAGGAACACCGGCGGCGAAAGCGGCCUUCUGGACGAGGACUGACGCUGAGAUGCGAAAGCGUGGGGAGCGAACAGG
rnacentral:rRNA from 1 species